rnacentral:lncRNA from 1 species
AUUUGGUUUUCGCUAACCGCAAGUACUGAGGGAGAGAUUAAAUAUCCAGCACGCAACCGCGCUGUUGCCAGAUUUACAUAUUUUCUAUUAGCGGGAAUUUUAAAAUCUCGAAUGCGAGUUGGUUUAAAAUUUGACAGUUGUGUUUUCUCGAAUCGGAAUCUUAACCUUACUUUUGUGAUUAUUUAUUUACAAAUAUGUAAAUAAAUUCAAACAAGUAUUGUAUGUACCUACUGUGUUAUAAUUUAAAGCUCUUAAUUAUGUUAGUCUUUAAAAAAAAUGAAGCCCACAAAAAUACACUUGUUUACAGUGCAAAUGAUUUUUUAAUGGAAAUAGGGAUUUAGGAUUUCAUUUGCAGGAAAAACAUGGGCAACCUACCCAGUUCGUAAAAUUGCAAUUCAAAAACUCUUUAGAUUUUACUGUCUGGAUGGCACAGGAAGAGACACAAAAUAAUAUUCAGUACUGCAAUCACAGGAGUACAUAGAGUACGUAGAGAUAUAAGAAAACAGCUGUUCAACAUCACCUGACACCGUUUAGUUUUUAGAAAAUGAAAAGUCUUUAGGUUGAAUGCGAUCUGCAGUAUCUUGCAUUGCUACAUAAUGAAUGUGUUUAUAUAUGGUAUUUUUUAUUGAAUAAUCUAUACAGGAACAACUAAAUGAAUGUAUACAUAUAUUGCAGACAUUGCAUUUAGUUUUUUAGAGCAGCAAGUUUUUUUGUGUUUCAACAAGGUAUUCAGUUUUUUUUUCUUUUAGUAUAUACACAUUAUUAUCUUGUAAAAUAGCAAGCUAAUACAGUUCGGUAUCUAGACGUUAUGGAGCAUUCAACAGGUUUACCUUUUUUAAGCUUUAUAACCCUUUCAACAGUUUUAUUCCUUAAAAACAAUAACAACUGAUUUUCAAUGGUCAUAUUAUUGGUAUUUUAAUUCCAUAAUCCUUCCUAUAACAAUAGGUGCAUUGUUGGAAGUUAUUACAGUAGUUCUGCUGGAAAUACUUACCAAAAUUGUAUGUAUCUGCAUCAUUUAGAAUUUUACCCAAACACCUAUUAAUACUCUAUCUGAAUCUAACAUGUAUUGCAGCUCUUUCAAUGUCUUGUAUACAUAGGAUUUUUUCAGAAUCAGAUAUUUCAUUAAGAUUUACUUGCCAUGCCUUGUCUAUGUACCAGGGACAUAACAGUCUAUUAGGAACAGAACCCAUUACAUUCAGGCAUUGUAAAAAGUGUUAGUUAUGUCUGAUAUGAAAACAUUUGACUAUAUAAUACCAGCACACUCAUGUAUUUUUUCAAAAAAAGUUGGUAAAUAAAAGUAUUUUUUAUGAGCCCAUGAGUUCCAUUAGUUGCGAUAAGCGAUUUACCAAACUUAAUUAAUAUUUCCUUUUGCACAGUAUUCAUGGAAACACAUAAGACAAAAAUCAUUAUUGUUUAAUUCGGGAGGAUUAUCAAUAAUUGAAUCGUUUAUUUCAGAAAGGGGUCAAGUCACAAGUAUCCACUUUUGAGAAAAUAAAGUUUACACACUGUUUACAUUCAACAAACAAUCACAUUAUAUAAAAUAAAAAUUCUACCUAGCAACCUGGAGUAUUUGUUAAAAAAUGUUGUAUUUUUUAAAAAUGUAUCUUGUUAAAUUGUU